GUGGGGAAUUUUGGACAAUGGGCGCAAGCCUGAUCCAGCAAUGCCGCGUGCAGGAAGAAGGCCUUCGGGUUGUAAACUGCUUUUGUACGGAACGAAACGGUCCGGGUUAAUACCCUGGGCUAAUGACGGUACCGUAAGAAUAAGCACCGGCUAACUACGUGCCAGCAGCCGCGGUAAUACGUAGGGUGCAAGCGUUAAUCGGAAUUACUGGGCGUAAAGCGUGCGCAGGCGGUUUUGUAAGACAGGCGUGAAAUCCCCGGGCUCAACCUGGGAAUUGCGCUUGUGACUGCAAGGCUGGAGUGCGGCAGAGGGGGAUGGAAUUCCGCGUGUAGCAGUGAAAUGCGUAGAUAUGCGGAGGAACACCGAUGGCGAAGGCAAUCCCCCGGGCCUGCACUGACGCUCAUGCACGAAAGCGUGGGGAGCAAACAGGAUUAGAUACCCCUGUAGUCC
rnacentral:rRNA from 1 species